rnacentral:rRNA from 1 species
CCCUUGGAUGUUCUGGGCUGCACGCGUGCUACAAUGGCGCUUGCAACAAGUCUUGCCAACCCGAUAGGGUGAGCGGAUCUUUGAAGAGGCGUCGUGAUCGGGACAGUUGAUUGCAAUUAUUCGACUCGAACGAGGAAUUCCUUGUAAUCGCGAUUCAUCAUAUCGCGCUGAAUACGUCCCUGCCCUUUGUACACACCGCCCGUCGCUCCUACCGAUUGAAUGCUCAGGUGAGCCAUUCGGACUUUCAUCAUGCUGGUUUCCAGUUUUGAUGAAGGAAAGUCUUGCGAACCUUAUCAUUUAGAGGAAGGAGAAGUCGUAACA